UAACAUAUGAACUUCUCUUAAUCGGUGGACUAAUAAUGAAGCUUGCUUAGCGGUUCCAAUGUGUGCAAGAAACAGAGUUUUUUUGUUCUUCAAUUCCUAGUGAUUUUCCUGAAAGUCUGACUUCUGUUCUUUUUGUCAUAAUGAAAGUCACAGUGAUCAAUUCUACUGUGUUCAAAAGUCCCAACUUAAGUUCUGUUACUAGUCUAGCCAUAGCCAACAGUGGAAUUAAUGAGGAUUGAGCCUGGAGCCUUUUCUGCUUUUCAAAAUCUCAGCAAACUUAGUUUAUAUUAUAAUAAUCUGACAACUGUACUGGCUUCCUGGUUUUCUAAUCCAGAGCACUUAGAAAAUUUAACAGUAUUGCUGAACAGCAUCGAGGAGGUAGGACCAUAUAUGUUAUCCAGUUUCUCUGACCUAACCACUCUUAAUUUGGCAAAUAGCAGAAUCCACUUCAACUUUGAUAAAUUCCUUAGACUUUCCACUGCAAUUACAGUGGAAAGUCUAAGGAAUUUAUCAAAGUUGAAGUUUUUAGAUCUGUCUGGAAACAAUCUUUCUCUCUUGAAAAGAGAUAUCUUCAGUGGCCUCAGGUCCCCAUCUAUGAAACUGGGUCAUAACCCAUGGGAUUGUUCAUGUGAACUUCAAGAUUUUGGAGCCUUUCUGCAAGAGCUUCUCAUUGCUUCCCUGUUAGAAGAUGCUUCAUCUGUCACUUGCCAUAGUCCAGUAACCCUAAAGGGAUUUCCUGUGUGGAACAUCUCAGACUUUGGCUGUCAGCCUACCUUCUUGCCAGCAACUCUGGGAAAUGUACUGGAUAAAACAGUGGUCCCAGUAACUUUAGUCUCUGUAGUGUUACUUGUGCUCCUUUGGCUGCUUCUGGUGCUUUGGAAGAUGAAACACAACAGAGUACGUUGGCAGCUAGGUAAAGGAAUAGCUGUCGGUACCUGUAGAAAAGAGUUCAUAAGACCCCAGAAGAGCAGCGGGCAUCCUAAUAGGAAGAGACAAGUCACCAUCAAAGAAAUGGCUUCACAGAUUACAACAGUUGAACAACCUUCAAGAUCAGCCUUGGCAAGUUAG
rnacentral:lncRNA from 1 species